rnacentral:lncRNA from 1 species
AAUGCAACGGGAACAUGUAACACACACAUUAAGUUAAGUCAGCUUGUAUCAACAUUGUUAAGUCAUUAGUUAAUGAACUGGACUUUUCUUCCUUUUCAUGCUUUUGGGGUGGUUUAGUUGUCAUCUUGUCUAAGUAGCACUAGAGGGCGGUGGUUUGGACAUUGUUUGGAGGUGUAGCAGCUCCUUGCAGGUAGAGAGAGAGAGAGGGAGAGAGGCUGCCCUUAUUAGGAGGAUCAGCUGAGUAGGUGAGCCCUUUGUCUGUCCAGUGUGGCUACAAGAAGCUGCAAGCCAGACACAUGCAUCGCUUCAGUGGUUAGAUGAAACAGAGACGCUAUUGGUAUGUGUAUAUUUUGCUUAUUAUGAAUUAACUUGUAUAAAUCUGUGGGCCAGCACAAGUGAAAUGGUUUGGGGAGUGUUUGCCAGGAAGAGAUCGGCUAAGUCAUUAUUUCACUCAUUCGUUAAAUGUGGUGCACGCCAUUUUGGGUUUUUGUGUGAUGGCAUUUCAUCACUUGAAAUGUCUGUUACUUUGUUUAGCCUGGAGUUUGGUGCAGUUUGUAGAGAUUUGAUUUGCUUACUGUGGCUGAAGUUAAUUUAGGGGCAUUGUUUGGCUUAGAUUUGAUAAAGAAUAUAUUAGAUGAGAUUAAUUUGAUUUGCUCUAUUGGGGGUAUGUGCAUUUGAAUGUUUGAACUGGCAUGAUGUUGAGGUACAAACAUAAUUGAGAUGAUUUUCAAUUCAUGAUUUAAUGCUAAUGUUUUUUUUCUUUAUUUAAGGUUAUCAACCUAUUUCGAAACCUAUUUCGAAACCUAUUUCGAACCUAUUUCGAAUUCCCAAAUAAAAAUGGAACUAAUUGGAAUGGAGUUGUUCAGCGUCCUCUGUUGAAUUCUAUGCCGAAACGAGUUUAGGCAGGCUGAAGCCAGAUUAACUCGACAGUUGAUAACCACCGCGUGCAGCGUGGACCUGAGGAUAAAAGGCUUCGGACGUCCAAGGAAAAGCUGUAGACGCAGAGGUGGAGAGUUGCAAGUGUCCUUGAGGCCAAGAUGGCGGAAGAUGUUCUGGGAAAGACGGUUAGUCAGCUCAAGAGGGAGAGGACAACUGCGAAGAGCAGCUUCACCAGACAAGCCAACCUCCUCAGUAAAGGGGCAAACAGCAUGGUCGAAGCAGAGCUUAAGGAGGAGUUCAGUAGGCUGUCUGAGUAUUUCAAGAAAAUUCUUGAAACCAAUGAUGAUUAUAGGACCGGACUGCUGGCUGAAACAACAAAGGAAGAAGAGGAGGAAGACGCAGUGCUCCAAGAGUCGCUGGAGGUGGACAUUGAGAAGGCUGAAGAAAAAGCGGAGGCAAGAUUUAAAGAAGUGAAAAACAUUGUCCAAGUGAACCUUUGGUCAAGAUAUGGUCAAUAUGAGCUCACUACUGCCAUCCGAGAAGCCGAAAAGAAUGUCGAUGAAGCAGGUGACGUGCCUGUAGAAAGUCCCAACCUGGAGGGCUAUGAGGUGCGCUUGACUCUCCUGGAGAAAAGGACUCAGGAGGCCACCAGAGUCAUGGCAGCCUGGGAGCGAUGGAUCCCUCUGGAGGAGAGGAGGGACCUAGAUAGCAGAAUUAAAGAGCUUAAAGCAACCAGCAGCAGACUUGAGCUGAGGAAAGCUGAAUUCGCCACUGCACGGAGGAUUGCAGAGGAGGCACGGGCUGAAGAAGCUCAUGGUGGGAGGAACAGAGCACAAUUGACACCUGCAUCACCUAUAAUACCCACAGGACCGAUAGUAAGGAUCAAGCCAACAGCUCUUCCCAUCUUCGAUGGCAACAAAAGAGAAUAUUACAGAUGGAGGAAAGACUGGGAGAGCCUACAGAAACAAGGAGAGCCAUCUGGAUCAGCUGAGGUCAAGAAGAUUCAAUUAUUGAGCAGUGUUGAUGACAGAAUAGCAAAGGAUCUCAGACUAUCAACAUACAGCACUGCUGAAGAGAUAUUCAGAGUCAUGGAGAAUAGAUGUGGGAAUAAGUUAACCAUCACCAUAGAAAUCCUGGAAGAACUGGAAAAAAUACCUCCUGUGAAGGGAAACCAGCCAAGAAGAGUCAUCGACCUGAUACAGUCUGUGGAAAAAGCCUUAGCAGAUCUCACAGAGCUGGGAAACUCUGGUGCAAUAAAGAACCCUCUGGUGAUUAAAGCCAUAGAAAGCAAAUUACCUGACUUUGUUAAAAGAGACUGGCUAGUAUUCAUGGUGGAGCCUAGUAAUCAUGUCUCCUCAGACAACCAUUUUGAUGCUCUCCUGAAAUUUUUGAAAAAUCAGGAAGAGAUCCUGGAGAGGCUUGAGCAGCUUAAGGUAGUGGAGAGAACAGAGAGACCAGACCAUUAUUCAGUGAAGAAAUAUGACAGAAAAUAUGCUUCGACAAGAACCGCGAAAAAAGAACUGGAUGAUGGGUGUGUUGUAUGCGGUGAUGGAAGGCACAAUGACAAGAUUUUCUUCUGCAAAAAGUUCAAGGGGUUGAAACUUCAUGAAAAGAAAGCUGCUUUGAAAAAGCUGGGAGCCUGCAGAAGAUGCCUUGGACGGCAUGAUGAUGAUGGGUACUGCAGAGACACUUACCUAUGCAGGAAUAAAGACUGUAAGAAGGACGGCACCCCCAAUCACCAUUUCUUUCUCUGCCCGAAAGGAGAUUCUAGGCGGAGCAAUGAAGAGGAAAGUGGGAGAGGCAGCAGAGGAAAAGGCAAACUGACUGAUGAACAAGAGGGUUUCUUGUCUGAACUUUCCCCAGAUAUGGCAGAGAGGUGCAAAACAGCUUUUACAAAUAAUACGACGGGAACAACGAAAACCAGCAAGACCCAGUUUGAGCUUUUAGACAAGAGCGGACUCUGUGAACUUCCCGUCAUCAUGAUGCUGAUGGAGGUCACCGCCAAUGCAGGUCAGAAGAUUGGAACUCUGUUGGACCUUGCUUCUGACACAAACUACGUUACCCAUAAGGCUGCUGACAGACUGAGGCUACGGAGUGAGAAGGUGACCUUAGUUGUACAUGGUGUGGGCGGGAUGACCAUGAAGGUCGACACAGAAAGAUACCUCCUCAGAGUCAGGAUCAAGACACCUCAAGGCAAGGAGGUAGCCCAUGAACUUGUUUGCUAUGGGCUGGAUGAGAUCGCCAAAGUACAUAAGGUUGUUAAACCUGAAAAAUUACGGAAAUUCUUCCCAGAAGUUGAGCUGGAGGAGUUGAAGAGACCAAGAGAAGUUGAGCUUCUCAUCAGCCACAGAGAGGGAAGACUGGCCCCACAGAGGGUGAGAGUGGUAGGAGACCUCGUCUUGUGGGAGGGUCCAUUAGGGAAAACAGUGGGCGGAGCACACCCCGAUCUGAUCGAGGACGUAGAGGUGGCAGCACAUGAGUCAAAAACCCACUUUGCUCGCUCCAUGAGAACUGCUGCUGUCAGAUAUGAAGAGAUCAGAGAGCUGAAGACUGAGGGACCCUUGUUGCAAAAUAAAAAUGUGGUCGAAGCAAGGCUUACAACUGCUACCAACCGUGAGUUCCUUGAAUGGUGGAGAUGGGAGAGUAUUGGAGCAGCCUGCGAGCCAAAGUGUGGAGGAUGUCGGUGUGGAAAUUGCCAGCCCGGAGGGAAAGAAAUGAGCCUGGCAGAGGAGAAGGAGCUUGAAAUUAUAAAGGGAGGACUCACUUACGUCAAGGAGGAUGCUCAUGUAAAAUCUCCACACUGGGAUGCAAAGUAUCCAUGGACAGAGAAUCCUGACUCACUCCCCAACAACAGAAGUGCGGUGGAGGCCACAUUCUUCAGAACUGAAAGGCAGCUGGAGAAAGAGUCAGAGUGGAGAGAUGCAUAUACAGCCCAGGUCCACGAAAUGGUCAGACGAGGUGCAGCUAGGGAACUCACCGAAGAAGUCAUGAGAGACUGGAAGGGGCCUGUAUGGUAUGUAAGCCACCUGGUGGCGCCAAACCCACAUUCUGUUACGACUCCAGUGCGGCUGGUGUGGAACAGCAGCCAGAAGUUCAAAGGACUGAGUAUGAAUGAUAUUCUGCUUAAAGGACCAGAUGUUCUUAACCCGAUCAGAGCUGUUCUACUGAGGUUCAGGAGAGGGGUGUUUGCAGCCCUCGGGGACAUCAAGAAGAUGUAUAACUCUGUGUGGUUGGAGGAACGUGAAAUGCACCUACACCGAUUUCUUUGGAGGGAUAAGCCUGAGGAAAUAAUAAGAGUGUAUGCUAUCACACGAGUUAACAUCGGGGACAGACCAGCUGGGUGCAUCGCACAGCUGGCUAUGCGCGAGACUGCAAGGCUGUCCAUCUUUGCUCAACAGAGAGAAGAACGCAGAGUCCUUGAAGAGGAUAGUUAUGUGGACGACAUCCUAACUUCACAUAACAGUCUGGAGAAAUUGGACAAAAUUACAGCAGGAGUGGAGGAGAUUCUGAGAGCUGGAGGCUUCUUUCUGAAACCAUGGGUCCGGUCAGGUCAAAGUGGGAGGCAGAAAACAGCAGGUGAGGCAGUGGGACGGAGUAAGACCAUUAUUCUGCCAAAUCAGAUGAGGGAUGAAGACAACAAAGCCCUGGGAGUUGGAUAUCAAGUGGAGGAGGACAAACUGUACAUGUUGACCUCAGUCAACUUUUCAAAAAGGAAAAAGAAGAUGAGGAUGGGAAAGGAUCUUCACAAGGAGGAAGUGAGACCUGGAACACCUGACCCACUAACUAGAAGGGAGCUGCUAAGCCAGGUAGCUGGACUCUAUGACCCGAUCGGCUUAGUGACACCUGCCAAACAGAAGGGGGCGAUCCUUGUAAGGAAGGCAUUCCAGGAAGCAGGGGGUGGAAAGCUGACUCGAGAGACCUGGGAUAAACCACUUUCAGAAGGCCUCAGAGGAGAAGCUAUUAAGCUGUUUGAAGGAUACGUUGAGCUGGGACAAAUUAAAUUCCACCGAAGCCUUACACCAGCUGACUGGAAAGGGAAGCCAUGGGGAAUCACCUUCUCAGAUGGGAGCGACAAAACCUAUGGAGCUGUAAUGUAUUUGAGGUGGAAGACAAGGCAAGGAAUUGAUGUCCGUUUCGUUGAAUCUAAAGCCAAGCUGACGCCACUAGAUCAGAAAGGGGAUGCAGUCAAAGCUGAGAUGUGUGGCGCAGUCUUUGCAUCGAGGCUCAAGAAAUACUUUGAGAAGCAUGGUGGAAUGGAGAUAGAGCGGUGGAUUCAUCUGGUAGACAGUCAAACAGUCCUCGGAGCCAUUCAAAGAGACAGCUAUGGCUACCAAACCUUUUUUGCAAACCGUGUUGGUGAGAUCCAGAAAUCUGGGCCAGUUGAAGACUGGUGGUGGAUCCCUGGAGAACUUAAUGUGGCUGACAUCAUGACGAGAGGGGGUGCUCCUGAAGAAAUAAAGGAGAAUUCCACAUGGCAAAAUGGACCAGAGUUCCUAAAGUGGCCAGUGGAGGAGUGGCCCAUAAAGUCAGCUGGAGAGGUUGCUGCUCACAGUAGGGAAAGUGUGAACAAGCUUCAGAGAAAGGCCUUCACAACAGCAGUAACCAGAGCCCAGACAAAAAUAGAAGUAGAGGAUCUGCUGACCUCGCAGACAAGGUUGAAAGAGGGGAUUCAGGAGGAAGUGGGCCCACCUACUGUUGCAGGAAGGGCACCUGUCGGCUGGGGGAUCAAGAAUCUCGUGAAGGUGGAGAGAUACAGUAGCUUGUCCAGGCUGGUCAACAUCGUUGCCUGGGUGCGGCGAGCUGCUAAAAGGUGGCUUGAGAUAAAGGCAAAAGGCAGAGGACAAACAAAGGCCAAGAAAACUGUCUUGACUGUGCAGGAGCGCGAAGAUGCACUCAGAGACCUGUUUCAUGCUGCACAGGAGGCUGUAACUUUUCCACAAACUGCAUUGAACCGACUGGCAGUGUAUAGAGAGGAAAGCUCUGGACUCUUAGUCUGUGGAGGCAGGAUUCAGAUGUUCAUUGAAAGCAAAACCGCUGUGCCAAUUAUACCACACGAAGCAUGGUUGUCCACACUGUUGGCACAAGAAGCCCACAAAGCGAACCAUGAAGGUGUAGCAGGAACCCUUCUCAGGAUGAGGAAAAGAGCCUGGGUGGUAAAAGGUCGAAGAAUCGCCAAGAAAGUGGUGGACAGCUGUGUGGCCUGCAGGAAAGCUACAGCGAGGAAAUGUCGACAGAUCAUGAGUGACCUUCCACCUGAGAGAACAAGCCUGGCCAAACCAUUUGAAUACACAACCAUGGACUUAUUCGGGCCUUACAAGGUAAAAGAUGAAGUAAGGAAGAGAGUCAAACUCAAAGUCUGGGGGAUUGUGUUCUGUUGUAUGGCUUCCAGAGCCAUACACACCGAUGUUGUCAGCGACCAAUCAUCCGAAGGGUUUCUUCUUGCCUAUCAGAGGUUUGCUGCCCUCAGGGGACACCCCAGGAAAUUGUGGUCAGACCCUGGUACAAAUUUUGUGGGGGCAAAACCUGCACUUGAAGAGCUUCACGGAUUUAUGAGAAAUUUAAACAAGACGGAGAUUGAAAGAGAGGCUUCCAAAUGCGGAACAGACUGGUCUUGGAAGAUCCAUCCUGCAGACUCUCCCCACAGGAAUGGAGCAGCAGAGGCGGCAGUCCGAUUGGUAAAGCGGGCUUUAAGCAACCUUGGUGGUGAUGGAGGUUUCUCAUGGGGUGAAUUCCAGACAUUCCUCUUCAUGGCAGCAAACCUGGUUAAUGAAAGGCCCAUAGACGCGAGAGUGCAGAGCCGGGAGGACUGUGUGGAGUACAUCAGUCCCAAUUCUCUUCUGUUAGGACGGGCCUGCUCUCGAGGAGACCCAGGGGAUUUCCAGUUUGAAGGAUACCCAUACAGGAGACUCCAAAGUAUCCAAGGGGAGGUGAACAAGUUCUGGAAGAAGUGGAGCCAGUUAGCUGGUCCCAAUUUGUUUGUGAGGAACAAGUGGCACACAAAGGAGCGAAAUGUUGCCGUGGGAGACGUGGUUUGGCUUGCUGACCAGAAUGCAUUGAGGAGUCAAUAUAAGUUGGCCAGAGUGGUCAGUGUCAAUACUGACACAAAAGGCAUCGUGAGAGAUGUACAUGUGAAAACUUUUCCAAGCUACCCUGUCCCAGUAAAGAAGCCGUCCAAAGGAGAAAGAAAUAAAGGCAUCAAGAGACUGUCAUCUAAGAUUCCGGCUACGAUUCUUCAUAGGGACGUCAGGCGCUUGGUGAUUCUUCUUCCCAUUGAAGAACAACAAGGACUUGACAGACUGUUAUGACCUCCUUGGGUUCAGUAACCAGGAGCUCAAGUGGGAGGUGUUAAGUCAGCUUGUAUCAACAUUGUUAAGUCAUUAGUUAAUGAACUGGACUUUUCUUCCUUUUCAUGCUUUUGGGGUGGUUUAGUUGUCAUCUUGUCUAAGUAGCACUAGAGGGCGGUGGUUUGGACAUUGUUUGGAGGUGUAGCAGCUCCUUGCAGGUAGAGAGAGAGAGAGAGGGAGAGAGGCUGCCCUUAUUAGGAGGAUCAGCUGAGUAGGUGAGCCCUUUGUCUGUCCAGUGUGGCUACAAGAAGCUGCAAGCCAGACACAUGCAUCGCUUCAGUGGUUAGAUGAAACAGAGACGCUAUUGGUAUGUGUAUAUUUUGCUUAUUAUGAAUUAACUUGUAUAAAUCUGUGGGCCAGCACAAGUGAAAUGGUUUGGGGAGUGUUUGCCAGGAAGAGAUCGGCUAAGUCAUUAUUUCACUCAUUCGUUAAAUGUGGUGCACGCCAUUUUGGGUUUUUGUGUGAUGGCAUUUCAUCACUUGAAAUGUCUGUUACUUUGUUUAGCCUGGAGUUUGGUGCAGUUUGUAGAGAUUUGAUUUGCUUACUGUGGCUGAAGUUAAUUUAGGGGCAUUGUUUGGCUUAGAUUUGAUAAAGAAUAUAUUAGAUGAGAUUAAUUUGAUUUGCUCUAUUGGGGGUAUGUGCAUUUGAAUGUUUGAACUGGCAUGAUGUUGAGGUACAAACAUAAUUGAGAUGAUUUUCAAUGCAUGAUUUAAUGCUAAUGUUUUUUUUCUUUAUUUAAGGUUAUCAACCUAUUUCGAAACCUAUUUCAAAACCUAUUUCGAAACCUAUUUCGAACCUAUUUCGAAUUCCCAAAUAAAAAUGGAACUAAUUGGAAUGGAGUUGUUCAGCGUCCUCUGUUGAAUUCUAUGCCGAAACGAGUUUAGGCAGGCUGAAGCCAGAUUAACUCGACACACACAUUAAUGUAACAGGAACAUGUAACACACACAUUAAUGUAACAGGAACAUGUAACACACACAUUAAUGCAACGGGAACAUGUAACACACAUUAAUGUAACAGGAACAUGUAAC